UCAUCAGACCCCCCCCCCCCCUUCUCCAUGACUAGUGUUUGACAUUUUAACUUACCCUUUAUUUUUUUAAAAUCUGAAUAUAAACUCUCCCAGUAGACAGAAAAGGGAAGAUUCCUAGUUCACAACUCAUUCCAACACUUAAUACCUCUCUCCAUAAAUUUGCUCUACAACAAAAUAUUAUGUCUCUAUGUGACUUCUCUAUUAUUCAUAAGGCUAAGAUUUUCCUGUACUUCUGAAACAAUGGCUUCCACAAAAUCACGUUUUCAGGCGUUUUGCUACCACGGGCAAAAUAGGAUAGUCGAAGUUUCAACCCCAUAACCCAAAACAGACCUAAAAUACACUAGCAUAAUCAGCUUAGAACUUUAAGCCUCUUUGAAUUAUCAACCCAUAU
rnacentral:lncRNA from 1 species